rnacentral:rRNA from 1 species
AUACAUGCAAGUCGAGCGAACAGACAAGGAGCUUGCUCCUUUGACGUUAGCGGCGGACGGGUGAGUAACACGUGGGUAACCUACCUAUAAGACUGGGAUAACUUCGGGAAACCGGAGCUAAUACCGGAUAAUAUUUCGAACCGCAUGGUUCGAUAGUGAAAGAUGGUUUUGCUAUCACUUAUAGAUGGACCCGCGCCGUAUUAGCUAGUUGGUAAGGUAACGGCUUACCAAGGCGACGAUACGUAGCCGACCUGAGAGGGUGAUCGGCCACACUGGAACUGAGACACGGUCCAGACUCCUACGGGAGGCAGCAGUAGGGAAUCUUCCGCAAUGGGCGAAAGCCUGACGGAGCAACGCCGCGUGAGUGAUGAAGGUCUUCGGAUCGUAAAACUCUGUUAUUAGGGAAGAACAUACGUGUAAGUAACUAUGCACGUCUUGACGGUACCUAAUCAGAAAGCCACGGCUAACUACGUGCCAGCAGCCGCGGUAAUACGUAGGUGGCAAGCGUUAUCCGGAAUUAUUGGGCGUAAAGCGCGCGUAGGCGGUUUUUUAAGUCUGAUGUGAAAGCCCACGGCUCAACCGUGGAGGGUCAUUGGAAACUGGAAAACUUGAGUGCAGAAGAGGAAAGUGGAAUUCCAUGUGUAGCGGUGAAAUGCGCAGAGAUAUGGAGGAACACCAGUGGCGAAGGCGACUUUCUGGUCUGUAACUGACGCUGAUGUGCGAAAGCGUGGGGAUCAAACAGGAUUAGAUACCCUGGUAGUCCACGCCGUAAACGAUGAGUGCUAAGUGUUAGGGGGUUUCCGCCCCUUAGUGCUGCAGCUAACGCAUUAAGCACUCCGCCUGGGGAGUACGACCGCAAGGUUGAAACUCAAAGGAAUUGACGGGGACCCGCACAAGCGGUGGAGCAUGUGGUUUAAUUCGAAGCAACGCGAAGAACCUUACCAAAUCUUGACAUCCUUUGACAACUCUAGAGAUAGAGCCUUCCCCUUCGGGGGACAAAGUGACAGGUGGUGCAUGGUUGUCGUCAGCUCGUGUCGUGAGAUGUUGGGUUAAGUCCCGCAACGAGCGCAACCCUUAAGCUUAGUUGCCAUCAUUAAGUUGGGCACUCUAAGUUGACUGCCGGUGACAAACCGGAGGAAGGUGGGGAUGACGUCAAAUCAUCAUGCCCCUUAUGAUUUGGGCUACACACGUGCUACAAUGGACAAUACAAAGGGCAGCGAAACCGCGAGGUCAAGCAAAUCCCAUAAAGUUGUUCUCAGUUCGGAUUGUAGUCUGCAACUCGACUACAUGAAGCUGGAAUCGCUAGUAAUCGUAGAUCAGCAUGCUACGGUGAAUACGUUCCCGGGUCUUGUACACACCGCCCGUCACACCACGAGAGUUUGUAACACCCGAAGCCGGUGGAGUAACCAUUUGGAGCUAGCCGUCGAAG